UCAUUAAAAUUAAAGGACAUGAAAAAAUAGAUAUUAGUAUAGCAAUAAAACAAACAUACAUUCUUUUAUUUGUAAUUAAAUAAACUACAUUUGGGGAUUAAAAAGUACAGCCUUUAGUCAAAUAUAACUGGAAAGGACUAAAUGCCACUGAGAAGAGAACAGAGGCAUUCCAAAAACAACAUCAAUAUAGUGAAAAAUACAAUAUGUAAAAUAAUUUGGAAGUUUUAACUUGAAAUUAAUAAAACAUAAGAUAUAUUAACAAUAAUAAAGUAUCAGUUCAGUACAAAUAAAGAAUAUCAGCUAGUCCAACAUAGAAUGCCACAGUUUCAAUCUCCGACCAGCUUGUGAAAUAAAAUGCAAACAGAAUUCUGUCAUAUCUAGAAUCUGAAAUAAUUCUCUUCACAAUCCGCUGAGUGGAAAAAAUUACAUUAAAGAAGGGCAUAAAAGAGGAUUUUACAAAAUAGGCACAAACAUACACCCAGCAAUAUCAUCAAUUAUUGAAAUUUGAUUACAAACUUCCAUCAGUGUUUAUUUUCUAGAAAAUAAAUUCCAAAAAGUAAACAACAAAACAGACAGUAACAUAACUUUUAAAGCAAGCACUAAAUGUUAAGAACAUAACAAAGAUAUAACUUAAUGAUUUGAUACCUAUAACAAAAUUAAACAUGGACAGAAAUUUAUGUACCAUAUAGAUUACUAGAAAUGAGCGACACCAAAAAGAACAAAUUUGACAACCUUGGAGCACUUUUUCCAUCCACUGCAUUGUUUGAAAGGUCAUCCAUAAGAGCAUCCGCAGAUCCAUCAGCAGGAGCAGAGUUUUGUACAUUGGAGGGUUGUAAUACCCUCACUUUAGGUAAUCCGUACAUUUUACUAUUCUGAUAAUCAAUGUCUAUACAGAAAGUCAGAAUGUCUGGAACUAUAUUUAAUCUAAAGUGAAGAGUCCUAAAUAAUCUAAAUAAUGACUAAGAAAAAUUUUAAAAAAAAUUUAAGAAACGAAAUACAAGAAGGUUAAACGAACCGAAGCUCCGGUGAUGGGUAACCUAACGGGAAGCAACUGUAAAGACAUUUGCCGACCCUAGACGAGGGGAACCUUGUGAAAAAAUUAUUUGAGACUUAAGUGAAGGAUUUCUGAGGUUCAGAUGACAAUGGAAUGCUAAGAAAAUUUAUGUAAAUCGAUACACACAAUUUUAACUUGGUAAACACAAUGAAGGACAUUUUGGUCAUUUCACCUUCAGAGCUGAUUUUUGACCAAUUUGCCCAUUUAAGUAAGUGAGAUUUAUGUCAUAAAAUAUGAAUAAAUAUUGAUAAAAAUUUAAUUAAAAAUGAAUAAGAGAAAGAAGAAAGAAAAAUAAAACAAAUUGAAAUUAAAUUAGAAUUAUUACCUAAGCAUGAUGCAAUUUAAAAAGUGUAACCAAUCAAAAUUAGACAAGCCUACUUAUAAGAGAUAAAAGGGAUUAAAAUGAAAUAAAAAUAAAAAAAAUAAAUCAUCUCCUUCCUCAUUUCCACUAGUUGGCCAAAACUCUAUGCCCUAAGCCAUCCUCCAUUAAAGCUCCAUCAAGUUUCAAAUUUCCACCAUUUUCUAUCAUAUUUCCCCACUCUCCAAAUACAAAAAUUAUUUAUUUCACUUUAAGAAGAAGAUUAGUGGCAAGUAGAAGAAGAGAAAUUGAAGAAUUGGGAAGUUUAGAAUCUUGCUUCAAGAGGUUAGUGCCAAUUCUCACCCCUCUCUCUCUCUCUCUAUUCAUUGCUAAGGAUUUAAUUUGAGCUAGAAUUUGUUGAAAUUGAAAACAAAUAUACAUGUUAGAGCACCCAUGAAUUUCGGCAGCCAUGAGAAGAUUUAGGGUUUGAUGAUUUUUUAUGGAAUUAAUUGGUUUAUUAGUAUUGUUGAUGAGUAUAUGUGAUAGAUAAGUUGAUUAGUAUGUGUUGGAUGCAAUUAUGAAUUGUGAGGGUUAGGGUUUGUGAUAAAUUGGGGAUUUUAUGUUUUGAUGCUUAAUUGGUGUUAUUAAGGUCAAUUAGUGACCAUUUGAUGUAGUUUGACCUUAAAAAGGAAUUGGUUGUGGCAUUGAAUUGUGAAUUGGAUCUGCUGCCCUUUAUGCUGGAAAUUCUAGACUUUGAGUCCAGUAUGUUUGGCAGCCAUAAGUUGAAUUGUGUAACUUCAAUUGGUGUAAGGCCAAUUGGAGGUGAAACUAGGGACAUAAUGUCACAUUUUUCAUAAAGAGAUUCUACCCAGAAACUAACACAAAGUGACCUAAAAUUUGUUUGAGUCUGGAUAACUAAAAUCUGGACUUGGAAAAAUGACCAUACGAGCAGUGAUUGUUCAAAUGGGCAUAACUUUGUGUAGAGAGGUCCA
rnacentral:misc_RNA from 1 species